rnacentral:rRNA from 1 species
GAUGAACGCUGGCGGCGUGCCUAAUACAUGCAAGUCGAGCGAAUGGAUUAAGAGCUUGCUCUUAUGAAGUUAGCGGCGGACGGGUGAGUAACACGUGGGUAACCUGCCCAUAAGACUGGGAUAACUCCGGGAAACCGGGGCUAAUACCGGAUAACAUUUUGAACCGCAUGGUUCGAAAUUGAAAGGCGGCUUCGGCUGUCACUUAUGGAUGGACCCGCGUCGCAUUAGCUAGUUGGUGAGGUAACGGCUCACCAAGGCAACGAUGCGUAGCCGACCUGGGAGGGUGAUCGGCCACACUGGGACGAAGACACGGCCCAGACUCCUACGGGAGGCAGCAGUAGGGAAUCUUCCGCAAUGGACGAAAGUCUGACGGAGCAACGCCGCGUGAGUGAUGAAGGCUUUCGGGCCGUAAAACUCUGUUGUUAGGGAAGAACAAGUGCUAGUUGAAUAAGCUGGCACCUUGACGGUACCUAACCAGAAAGCCACGGCUAACUACGUGCCAGCCGCCGCAGUAA